rnacentral:rRNA from 1 species
UGGGGAAUAUUGGACAAUGGGCGCAAGCCUGAUCCAGCCAUGCCGCGUGAGUGAUGAAGGCCUUAGGGUUGUAAAGCUCUUUCGCCGACGAAGAUAAUGACGGUAGUCGGAGAAGAAGCCCCGGCUAACUUCGUGCCAGCAGCCGCGGUAAUACGAAGGGGGCUAGCGUUGUUCGGAAUCACUGGGCGUAAAGCGCACGUAGGCGGAUUGUUAAGUCAGGGGUGAAAGCCUGGAGCUCAACUCCAGAACUGCCCUUGAUACUGGCAAUCUCGAGUCCGGAAGAGGUAAGUGGAACUGCGAGUGUAGAGGUGAAAUUCGUAGAUAUUCGCAAGAACACCAGUGGCGAAGGCGGCUUACUGGUCCGGUACUGACGCUGAGGUGCGAAAAGCGUGGGGAGCAAAACAGGAUUAGAUACCCUGGUAGUCCACGCCGUAAACGAUGGAGGCUAGCCGUUGGCGAGCAUGCUCGUCAGUGGCGCAGCUAACGCAUUAAGCCUCCCGCCUGGGGAGUACGGUCGCAAGAUUAAAACUCAAAUGAAUUGACGGGGGUCAUAGCUGUUU